UUCCUAUGAUGAGUUUGCCAUGCUAAUACUGAUGCGCCAGACUGACCGAGUUUCUCUGGGCGUACUUGAGUUCAGCUUGCCUUCUCACACUCGUAGUGUGCUCUGAGGAAA